UGUUCUCAUAAAAAAAAGAAAAGUAAAACUGAAAGCACCAGCACAGCAGGGCACGAGCAUAGGAAGCAGAAGAGAAGCAGAAGCAACUUUUCUUUUCUUUCUAUUUUUUUAACUACUCUCUCUCUCUCUCCCCAAAAGCUAAACCCCAGCUCUCUCUCGCUGUCUGUCUGUUUUCUUACAAAUUUGCGUAACUGUAUAUAGAGAAAGAGGCUGUGUUUGUGGCUUGUGGUAGAGAGCACUGAAGCUACAACACAACUUUGUUAGUUUAUUUUUCUUUUCUUUUUUUUUUCUUUUCUUUUUUUAUAUACAUAUAAAAAAAGUGCGUGUAUUUUCGAGAUCCGGCAUCUGAAAUCUGCGAUUUUCCGGGAAAAUCGUUGGGUUUUUGAUUUAUUGAUUCCUUCAAAAAUCUCCUGUCAGACUGCUUCCCACUGGAAUCCAUCCCACUCGCCUUCAUCCGGCGCAUUUUAGCCUCUCCCGAGAAAAUGGCAAUGUGUUUGGUUGGAUGGAUUGAUCUGUGUUGUUCCCUGAAUCGCUCUACUCCAAUCGACAAAGACUCCAUUGCCUAUUGAAUCUUUACACAGACAGACCCACCACAAUACUGUUUUGGGUUGUUGUGCUCUCUACUCUUGGAAUUGAUGCCACUACGAUUCAUUUGUCACCUCUGCUUUGCCUCCAUACUUGGAUUGGACAUGAUUAAAUCUCUCUCGCAUUUGCUGAGGAGCAAUCCAUAAUAUAUUCACAGAAUCUGCUUGUGCCCUGUUUCUUCAAAGUGUAAAUCCAACUCUGUAUUGUCAAUCAAAAAAAAAAAAAAAAAAAAGAGAGAGAGAGAUGGAUAAGAGGAGGGUUUUGUCAUUGAGGCAUGUGUUGAUGUUGUCUUUGGCGCUGAACGUUGGGCUGAUAUUGAGGCUUGGAUAUGUGGGUGAGAAUUGGAGAGCUGAACAGAGUGUUCAUGGGCUCUGUUUGGAGGAGAAACAGUACCGGAACAUAGAGGCUUCCAUGGUCGAUUGUGACCAAAAAGUGGCGCACGUUAGCAAGACGAAGCUCGUGGAGACGACGACGUGGUCAACUUCAACUGCUCAUAAGGAAGUCGAAGAUGGUGGAGGGCGAGUCAUCAAUCUCGACCAUGGCGAUCCGACAAUGUACGAGAGUUUUUGGCAGCAGAUGGGUGACAGGACCACAGUUGUGAUCUCUGGGUGGCAGUACAUCAGUUAUUUUUCUGAUGUUACAAAACUUUGCUGGUUUUUGGAGCCAGAAUUUGCAAGGGCAGUUAUUAGAUUGCACAAACUGGUUGGAAAUGCCAUCACUGAAGGCCAUCACAUUGUGGUUGGAACAGGUUCGACACAACUCUUUCAGGCUGCAUUAUAUGCUCUCUGUCCGCCCAAUGCAUCUGAGCCCAUGAGCGUGGUGUCUGCUGCCCCGUUUUACUCGUCUUACCCAUUGAUGACAGACUUCCUGGAGUCUGGGCUCUAUAAAUGGGCUGGCGAUGCACACAAAUUUAGUAAAAAUAGGCCUUACAUUGAGCUUGUAACCUCACCUAACAACCCUGAUGGAUCCACAAGGCAGGCCGUGGUGAACCGAAAUCAAGGAAUACUGGUUCAUGAUCUUGCAUACUAUUGGCCGCAAUAUACUCCAAUCUCUUUUCCUGCAGACCAUGACCUUAUGCUCUUCACUGUGUCCAAAAGCACCGGCCAUGCUGGAACGCGCAUUGGUUGGGCCCUUGUUAAAGACCAAGAAGUCGCAAGAAAAAUGACCAAAUUCAUAGAGCUCAACACCAUAGGCGUGUCCAAAGAUUCACAACUUCGAGCAGCCAAGAUUUUGCAAGCUGUAGGUGAUAGUUGUGACCCUGUUGGCAGUGAUGAAGAAGUCCAACCCUUCUUUGACUAUAGCUAUAUCCUCAUGGAAAAGAGGUGGAAGCAGCUGAGAGCAGCAGUGAAAAACAGUCGACUAUUCAGUCUGCCUGACUUUCCUACUGCGUUCUGCAACUUCAGCGGUUGUAGUUUUGAACCACAGCCCGCGUUUGCAUGGUUGAAAUGUGAAGGGGAAAUAGAGGAUUGCGAAAGCUUUCUUCGCGGGCACAAGAUAUUGACUAGAGGAGGGAAGCACUUUGGGGUCUGCCCCAAGUAUGUUAGAAUUAGCAUGUUGGAACGCGAAAAAAAUUUCGACCUCUUUACACAGAGGUUGUCUACAAUCCAAUCUUGGUAGUCCUCAAGUAAUCUGGUUACUGUGCACAAGAGAAAAUGAACGCAGUGCAGCACAACUUGAGACUGAUUCCAGUAAUACCUGUUGUCAAGUGUCACUCGAUCUGAAUGAGGAAUAUGCUCAAUUUACGUUGAAUCGGCAGAGAAUUAGAUCUACUGAAACCCAUAACGCAAUUCCUUUUCUACCCAUUGGCUUCUUACCCCUUGCAAAAACACUACCCUCACCAAUAGUUGGAUUGUUACCAACACUUGGACUGUUGUCGUCUUCAAGAGAAUGCAGUUAUCCAUAGGAGAAUCGGGGGCUGAAUUAGGGGUAAACGCUAUAUGCAUCCUUAAAUUUACUAUAUUCAUAGGAGUUACAUCUUGCUACCUGAUAUUGUCUUGCAAGAUUGGCUAACAAUAUUCAAAAGUAAAAUGUUUGUUUUCAUCUUGAUGGUAUAAUUGUUUUGCUUAAAGCAUCUGUAUCAAUAAAAUUAAAACAUUAUUUCAUUA